rnacentral:rRNA from 1 species
GUAGUUUGAUCGUGGCUCAGAUUGAACGCUGGCGGCAGGCCUAACACAUGCAAGUCGAGCGGAUGAAGGGAGCUUGCUCCUGGAUUCAGCGGCGGACGGGUGAGUAAUGCCUAGGAAUCUGCCUGGUAGUGGGGGAUAACGUCCGGAAACGGGCGCUAAUACCGCAUACGUCCUGAGGGAGAAAGUGGGGGAUCUUCGGACCUCACGCUAUCAGACGAGCCUAGGUCGGAUUAGCUAGUUGGUGGGGUAAAGGCCUACCAAGGCGACGAUCCGUAACUGGUCUGAGAGGAUGAUCAGUCACACUGGAACUGAGACACGGUCCAGACUCCUACGGGAGGCAGCAGUGGGGAAUAUUGGACAAUGGGCGAAAGCCUGAUCCAGCCAUGCCGCGUGUGUGAAGAAGGUCUUC